rnacentral:rRNA from 1 species
UAGGGAAUAUUGGACAAUGGGUGCAAGCCUGAUCCAGCCAUGCCGCGUGCAGGAAGAAGGCCUUCUGGGUUGUAAACUGCUUUUGCCAGGGGAUAAAAUACGGGUGCGCCCGGAAUUGAAGGUACCUGGUGAAUAAGCCACGGCUAACUACGUGCCAGCAGCCGCGGUAAUACGUAGGUGGCAAGCGUUGUCCGGAUUUAUUGGGUUUAAAGGGUGCGUAGGCGGUCGAUUAAGUCAGUGGUGAAAUACGGCAGCUCAACUGUCGAGGUGCCAUUGAUACUGGUUGACUUGAGUACUGGUGAGGUAGGCGGAAUGGACGGUGUAGCGGUGAAAUGCUUAGAUAUCGUCCAGAACACCGAUAGCGAAGGCAGCUUACUAUGGAGUAACUGACGCUGAGGCA